rnacentral:rRNA from 1 species
GCUCUCGGGUGACGAGUGGCGGACGGGUGAGUAAUGUCUGGGAAACUGCCUGAUGGAGGGGGAUAACUACUGGAAACGGUAGCUAAUACCGCAUAACGUCGCAAGACCAAAGAGGGGGACCUUCGGGCCUCUUGCCAUCAGAUGUGCCCAGAUGGGAUUAGCUAGUAGGUGGGGUAACGGCUCACCUAGGCGACGAUCCCUAGCUGGUCUGAGAGGAUGACCAGCCACACUGGAACUGAGACACGGUCCAGACUCCUACGGGAGGCAGCAGUGGGGAAUAUUGCACAAUGGGCGCAAGCCUGAUGCAGCCAUGCCGCGUGUAUGAAGAAGGCCUUCGGGUUGUAAAGUACUUUCAGCGGGGAGGAAGGCGAUAAGGUUAAUAACCUUGUCGAUUGACGUUACCCGCAGAAGAAGCACCGGCUAACUCCGUGCCAGCAGCCGCGGUAAUACGGAGGGUGCAAGCGUUAAUCGGAAUUACUGGGCGUAAAGCGCACGCAGGCGGUCUGUCAAGUCGGAUGUGAAAUCCCCGGGCUCAACCUGGGAACUGCAUUCGAAACUGGCAGGCUAGAGUCUUGUAGAGGGGGGUAGAAUUCCAGGUGUAGCGGUGAAAUGCGUAGAGAUCUGGAGGAAUACCGGUGGCGAAGGCGGCCCCCUGGACAAAGACUGACGCUCAGGUGCGAAAGCGUGNNGAGCAAACAGGAUUAGAUACCCUGGUAGUCCACGCCGUANNCGAUGUCGACUUNNAGGUUGUGCCCUUGAGGCGU